UUGACCAGCUAGGGCUGCCAAUUAUGUUUCGUUGUAUACUUUUAGGCUAGCCUAGUACAGGUAAAAAAGCUUAACUUAAAGAACGCAAAUACAAUUUGGUUCUUGUAUUGGCUAACAAUAAAGCUUAUACUAUUGUAGUGACUUUUCCAAAUUCCUUUUUGCGGGUCAAAGUCCAAUAAGAAAUAAAUGGUAAUAGGCUGCCUUACAUCUGCUGAGAAACUUUUAGCUGGUGCAACAGCCUAUCCACUCAAUCAUCUCACCGCACUUCAACUUCCAGACGAUCUCCGUGAAAAGCACCUUCGUAAACAAACGAGUUGUUUAUUUUAAUUAUUGUUAAUAUUUAAAAUUAUUGAAUUUAUUGAUUUUAUUUCUUUAGCACUUUAUUUUUCUUCACUUCUCUCCAGGGAUUUCUUUGAUUUUUACAUAAUAUUCUAUACUAAUAAAUAUUUUUGUAUUAUACUUCCUACUAAUAGAAAUUAAAUUUAUCACAACAAUAUAUAUGUACAUAUGUAUUUAUGUAUGUACAUCUUCUAUCAUAUUAAUCUUAUGUCUCUGCACAUGCUCAUAUCAUAAUCUUAUUAUCUGCUCAUAUGAUUGCAUGUAUACGCAUGUCGCGAGUUAAGGAACGUAUUCCUUAUAAUAGUAACAAACAUCAAAACAACCUUUUGUUUUAGUAAACAGAAUGCAAACAACCUUGAGUUGGAACAAUUGAAAUGCAGUAUCACUUCAACAAACAAUCCUAAACAAACAAGUAUCAAAACAACAUUGAGUUUGAAUACCACGACAACCUUAUCUUAAAACAAAGAAAAUGUAUCUAAGUAAACAAUAUAUAUGUAAACAAACCUAAACAAAUAAUUAAUCUGUAUGUAGACAAACUAUCAACUAUUUAGUAAUAAGUAAAUAUACUAGGUAGUACAAAUAGAAGUAAGAACGAUGUAAUAAGUUAGUCUUAAGAGCAUAAAUAAAGAGUACACAUUUCGGUGCAGCUCAAAAUAUAUUCUUUUGACUCAUUUUUACGUAAUGAUAAAAAUUAACUCGCGUUCAGAAAUUCAAAUCAUGAUUUCAUCACUUAUCAAUGUAUUACAUGUGCGCGCAUUGAUCUGCAUGUUCAUACAUUCAUAUACACUUAUAUGUACAUAUAUUUGCAUACACUUCGGAACAAAUAAUGCACAAGCAUACAAACAUAUGCGUACACAUGUGAAUAUGCCACCAACAAAAAAUUUAAGCAUUGUUCUACAAAAACAACAAUUGUCUGAAUAGCAGAAGCAUGGCAAAUCAAUAUGGCAGCCGAAUUGGCGAAACCCAAAUGUAAUAAAUUUUACAACAAAAACGAUUUCAUUCAUAAACGUAGGCGCAAAUUCCACAAGCGACCUCGCUUCAUUCAUAUAAACAGGCGCCGUAACAUCUCCCCGAGUAUGUCUUUGCCUACAAACGUCUUUUCGCGACGAUGGCAAAAGCUAAAAAUCAUAAAUUGAACAACUUUCUGAACAGAAGGAAAUGAGAAAAGUGGCAAUAUAGCUCUUGUCGAUUUACAAUAUUUGUUAAUUCUAAAAUAAGUAUUUUUCCGUGGCUCGCAAAAAUUUGUGUCGAUAUGUUUGCAAGCUCAUACAUAUGCAUACAUACAUAUUUACGCUAGUUUUUAGGCGAAGCUGUUACAUCGGCAAGGGAAGCGGUUACAAUCGGCGAUCCAUUGUAUAUUUCUUUCAUGCAUAACCAAACCAUAAUUAGGACAACGCAAUAUAAGUGUUAAUGGUGGUGCUUGUUGUAAGCGCUUGAAAAGCCACGAUGAGCACGUAGGUUCAAAUCUGGACAGAAUUUAUUUUUAAUUUUUGCCUUUUAUUUUAUGGCAAAAGCGAAAAAUCAUAAAUUGAACAUCUUCUGGUGUUUGUUCUAAGAAAGAAGUGAGAAAAGUGGCAACAUAGGAGUUGUCGAUUUAUAAUAUUUGUCUAAAAUAUUUUACCGUGACAAAAAUCUGCGUCGAUAUGUAUUCAUGUUCAUACGUAUACGUACAUACUUAUUUACGCACGUUGGAAGGCGAAGCUGCUACAGGGGCAAGGGAAGUGGUGACAAUCGGCGGCCAUUCGUUUAUUUUUUUCGGCACAGCUUGGAUUUUCUGCCAAUGUUGUCACAAAGGAGAUGUAAAAAGAUGCGUGCGGUACUUGUUAUUAUGAAUGUAUGUACAGUCUUCCACAAAACUGAAGGUACAGUGAAUUUGGAUUUGCGAAUUGUAUUGCUUUGCAGGUGUUUUUCAUUCAAACGCCAAAUAACGAAAAUGUUAUUAUGACUAGUAAUAGUACUUUUUAAUUUUUAUAAAAUUAACCAUUUCGGCAACCGUGAUCAGCGAGGAGAUUACGUUUUUGUUGGCAACUCUUUACUGACGUUCCACAAAAGUCUUGGUACAGCUUUUAUUAGUAAAAAGGAGAAUCCCACAAUUCAAUAUUAUUGCUGUGAAUUAAAAGCUGCAGUCUGGUACUUUUAAUAUUGUAUUCGUGUUCGUUGAGUGUUAUUUGUUAUAAAAAUCAAAUAAAAAUAAAAGAAGUUAUGGGCCGAAAAGAAUUAACAAUUAGAGAACGGGAAAUCAUAAUUGAUCUACAUGUUAGGCAAGGUAAAUCUUAUUCACAAAUAUCUGAGCUUGUAUCGCGUAGUCGGUCAUCAGUCCAAAAAAUGGUUAAUCGAUAUAAUAAGGAAAACAGAGUUGAAAAUGCACCCAGGACUGGCCGCCCGCCCAAACUGAAUGAUACUGACAAGAGGAAAAUUUUGCGUAUAGUAAAAGAAACCCCAUUUGUAAGCUGCAGAAAAAUUAGUGAUGACCUUGCUGUUUACGACAACAAACAGGUUAGUGCAGAAACUGUGCGAAGAGCUGUCGUAGAGAAUGGAUUUUCAUCUAGAACGCCCAGGAAGAAGCCGCUUGUGAGUGCUAUAAACAAAGAAAAGCGUAUAACAUUCGCAAAGACAUAUUGUGACAAGCCUGUGGAGUUUUGGGACAAAAUUUUAUUCUCAGAUGAGUCUAAGUUUUGCAUAUUUGACAUAAAUGGGCAUAAAAGGGUCUGGCGCAGAGCAGGAGAAGCGCUCAAUCCAAAGAAUACGGUUAAAACCAUUAAACAUGAAGGCGGUGGCGUUAUGGUGUAGGGGUGCAUGGCAGCUGCGGGGGUAGGAAACCUGGUUUUUGUCGAAAAUAAUAUGGACGAGAAUACAUACUUGGAUAUUCUACGAAAUAAUAUGAAGCAGAGUGCUCUUAGGCUAGGUAUACAAGAAGAGUUCUUGUUUCAACAUGACAAUGACCCUAAGCACACUGCUCACAAAGUACAAAUGUGGCUGUUGUACAAUGCUCGUAUGUUUCCUACCUCACCUCAAAGCCUUGAUUUAAACCCCAUUGAGCAUCUUUGGUAUGAACUUGAGACUAGAAUUAGAAAAAGAAAGAUUUCAAGCAAAGCGCAGCUUAAGGAUGUUAUGUUAGAGGAGAGGAACAACAUUAGCAGCGAGCUCACCAAAAAAUUGGUGCAUUCAAUGCCUAAAAGGUUGAAAUCAGUAAUAAAAACUAAAGGAUAUCCUACAAAAUACUGAAAAAGGUGUACCUUGAAUUUUGUGGACUCAAUAUAAUGGCUUAUCACCAUAUUGGCAUCAUUUUCUUUUCUUAUAUACUGAAUUUUGGUUUUGUUUUUACAUGGAUUCAAAGUUUAUUUGUUAUUGUUGAAAAUACGUUAAGAAAAUUUUACUUUUAUUUGAAUAAUAAAAGCAGAUCACACUGUUUUCAAAAAUUUA